UAGUUAUCUGCCGGCGGCACGACGCUGCCAAGGUAGCGCUUGACAAGGUCCGGGUACUCGCGGAUGGCCUCGGAAAUGGAGCAAAAGAUGACGCCCUUCUUCAUGAGCUCCUCCCGGUGGGUGGUGGCGAUGGAGGUGGAGUCGAUGACGGCAUCGACGGCGACGUUGGCGAGGCGCUUCUGCUCGCUGAGCGGGAUCCCGAGGCGAUCGAAGGUGUUGAGAAGCUCCGGGUCGACCUCGUCGAGGCUGUUGAGCUUGGGCUUGGUCUUGGGCGCGGAGUAGUAGCAGAUGGACUGGAGAUCCACCGGCUCGUACACGUUGUCGCUCCAGGUGGGCUGCACCAUGGUCAGGAACCGGCGGUAGGCGGCGAGGCGGAAGUCGAGCAUCCACGCCGGCUCCGCCUUGAGCUCCGAGAUGCGGCGGACCGUGGCCUCGGAGAGCCCCUUGGGG
rnacentral:lncRNA from 1 species